rnacentral:snRNA from 1 species
UGCAAUUGCCAGGCAAUAUUGCG